CUCAAAUCAGGAGAGACC
rnacentral:rRNA from 1 species